GGGGUAACAUAGUGGUUUGAGCACUGGACUGGGAAACUGGAGACCAGGGUUCGAAUCCCAGCUUGGCCA